rnacentral:rRNA from 1 species
UACGAAGGGGGCUAGCGUUGUUCGGAAUUACUGGGCGUAAAGCGCGCGCAGGCGGUCUUCCAAGUCAGUGGUGAAAGCCUGGAGCUCAACUCCAGAACUGCCAUUGAAACUGUUAGACUUGAGUACGAGAGAGGUGAGUGAAAUUCCCAGUGUAGAGGUGAAAUUCGUAGAUAUUGGGAAGAACACCAGUGGCGAAGGCGGCUCACUGGCUCGUAACUGACGCUCAGGCGCGACAGCGUGGGGAUCAAACAGG